UGUUUCGGCUAGGGGGCCAUCCCGGCUUACCAACCCGAUGCAAACUGCGAAUACCGGAGAAUGUUAUCACGGGAGACACACGGCGGGUGCUAACGUCCGUCGUGAAGAGGGAAACAACCCAGACCGCCAGCUAAGGUCCCAAAGUCAUGGUUAAGUGGGAAACGAUGUGGGAAGGCCCAGACAGCCAGGAUGUUGGCUUAGAAGCAGCCAUCAUUUAAAGAAAGCGUAAUAGCUCACUGGUCGAGUCGGCCUGCGCGGAAGAUGUAACGGGGCUAAACCAUGCACCGAAGCUGCGGCAGCGAACGUAUCACUUAAAGCGAUUCAGCGGGUUACGAUUGACGGAGCGAAGCGACGUCAAAGCGUAUACAAAGUCGAGUCGGUUUAAGGAUACGUUCGUUGGGUAGGGGAGCGUUCUGUAAGCCUGUGAAGGUGUGUCGUGAGGCAUGCUGGAGGUAUCAGAAGUGCGAAUGCUGACAUAAGUAACGAUAAAGCGGGUGAAAAGCCCGCUCGCCGGAAG
rnacentral:rRNA from 1 species